GGAUUAAUGACUGAGUGGCUGAAGGUGAUCGACUUGAAAUCGAUUUUGCGUGUAAACGUAACAGAGGUUCGAAUCCUCUUUAAUCCG